rnacentral:rRNA from 1 species
AUUGAACGCUGGCGGCAGGCUUCACACAUGCAAGUCGAACGAGCGGCGGACGGGUGAGUAAUGUAUGGGAACCUGCCCGAUGGAGGGGGAUAACUACUGGAAACGGUAGCUAAUACCGCAUACCAUCAGAUGUGCCCAUAUGGGAUUAGCUCGUUGGUGGGGUAAUGGCUCACCUAGGCGACGAUCCCUAGCUGGUCUGAGAGGAUGACCAGCCACACUGGAACUGAGACACGGCCCAGACUCCUACGGGAGGCAGCAGUGGGGAAUAUUGCACAAUGGGCGCAAGCCUGAUGCAGCCAUGCCGCGUGUAUGAAGAAGGCCUUCGGGUUGUAAAGUACUUUCAGCGGGGAGGCGUUACCCGCAGAAGAAGCACCGGCUAACUCCGUGCCAGCAGCCGCGGUAAUAC